rnacentral:pre_miRNA from 1 species
UCUUAUGUAUGAGCAAAGAAAAGUGGUUUCUUGGGGUGGAAUCUACUCCUGGUGAAGAUGCUGUGCA